UGUGAUCCUUGAAGAUUGCUGUGCUUUGCAGAGGGAACUUGGCAGGCGGGCAGCGAGUCUUUACGAAUUGUCACCAAGGCUUUGUGACUUACAGGUAUGUCUCAGCUGCCUACCAUAUGGCAAACAAGAGGCAAGGCACUGGUGAGCAGCUGAUGAGUAAAUCAGACCCUUUCCUGUCCUUGUGCUGGAAAUAAAGACACCAAGAUCCCAAGCUUGAUGGCAGUGGUUGCAUCUGAAGGAGACUUCUGGUGGCUCCGAGGACAGUGGGAAACGCAGAUGUUGGUAACCGUGAACGCUUUGAGUUCUCUUUCUCACCAUUUCCAAGGGCCAUGGCUAAGUUCCCCUCAGGUCUGAGCUCCACUCUCUUUGCACUGAGCUCCUGAUGUAAAUUGGCUUUCCAGUCCUGGGUCCGUCUGGAGUGACAGGUUCUAGUGGUGUGCUGGUCCUUAGCCCUUGUCAGUCCACAGUCCCCAUUUGUUGGGGUCUGCUGGUUUGGUUCCCACUUACACUUGGAUAGCUGUUGGUGCACAGUUAUGGCCUUCUCUUGGCCAAUCCACGCUACCAUCUCUUUGGUUACUGCUGGUGUCCACAGUUCCAUUUCCUCGGUUACUAUUGGUUUCUGUUAAUGUGCACAUGAAGUGAAGGAGUAAAUAGCCCUCUUGCUAAUGGGAAUCUUGGAAGGCAAAGCUGCAAAACUAGUGGGCAUGGGGUCGAGCACUUAAGAGCCAUUAGAGUGCUUGCCCCCCAACUCUGACUCCCAUGCUAGGAUAAGUUGUUCACAGAAUGCAUUAGAUUGAAACUAGUUUGUUCACCCCCAACCU